rnacentral:rRNA from 1 species
UGGGGAAUAUUGCGCAAUGGGGGAAACCCUGACGCAGCAACGUCGCGUGCAGGAAGAAGGUCUUCGGAUUGUAAACUGUUGUCGCAGGGGAAGAAAAAGAUGACGGUACCCUGUGAGAAAGUCACGGCUAACUACGUGCCAGCAGCCGCGGUAAUACGUAGGUGACAAGCGUUGUCCGGAUUUACUGGGUGUAAAGGGCGCGUAGGCGGGAUAGCAAGUCAGGAGUGAAAUACCGAUGCUCAACAUCGGAACUGCUUUUGAAACUGUUAUUCUUGAGUAUCGGAGAGGAAAGCGGAAUUCCCAGUGUAGCGGUGAAAUGCGUAGAUAUUGGGAGGAACACCAGUGGCGAAGGCGGCUUUCUGGACGACAACUGACGCUGAGGCGCGAAAGUGUGGGGAGCAAACAGG